rnacentral:tRNA from 1 species
GCUGGUGUGGUGGAACUGGUAGACACGCGGGACUCAAAAUCCCGUACGGGUUACACCGUGUGUGGGUUCGACUCCCACCACCAGCA